ensembl:snRNA U6 U6 spliceosomal RNA
GUGCUCGCUUCGGCAGCACGUAUACUAAAAUCAGAACGGUACAGAGAUUAGCAUGACCCCUGUGCGAGGACGAUAUGCAAUUUCGUGAAGUGUUCCAUGUUUUC